rnacentral:rRNA from 1 species
UACGGAGGAUCCGAGCGUUAUCCGGAUUUAUUGGGUUUAAAGGGUGCGCAGGCGGGAGAUUAAGUCGGCGGUGAAAUUUUGCAGCUCAACUGUAAAAGUGCCUUCGAAACUGGUUUCCUUGAGUGUAGAUGAAGUAGGCGGAAUUUGUGGUGUAGCGGUGAAAUGCAUAGAUAUCACGAGGAACUCCGAUUGCGCAGGCAGCUUACUAAACUACUACUGACGCUCAGGCACGAAGGCGUGUGGAUCAAACAGGAUUAGAUACCCU